GUUUGUAAAUGUAUUGGGCAUAUUUGUGUCCAUUGAUAUUUUCGUGUUUAGUUUCACAGAAUAACAUGUUCGUCCAUCUCUGUGCACCGUUUGCAUUUUGAGACUAAUUUUACUGUAAAAAAAUAAACCUCUUGGGGAGAUUUAUCAAAGUGUCAUCUUCCAAAAUGCGGUGCAGAGAUGUAAAAGUCGGGCAGUUUCCAAGGAAACCAG